AGCCAAGUCUUGAAUGUUGGAAAGAAGACUCCCCAAAUGGUGGUGACAUUGAAAUUGAACCAGAGUCGGGGACCACCAGCAUCAAUAUAGACUCUGCACGGGGUUUUGCGAAGCAUAAUGGUAAUAUCCUUGUCGUAGGUGAAGGCUGGCCGAACCUGUUCCCUGACCUUCUUGUUCUAUCAACCACACCGGUAGAGGACAUUAGUUGUGAGAAACAAAGAAUUAUAGAAAAGGAUCUAAAAAAUGCAUUGCUUAGGAUUAAGGAGCUGGAGAAGUAGAGAGUGAAGAAGGUCAAAUGUGUGAAAGAGUUAGAAAGAAAAGUCAGUACAAUGAAAUAGAUGGUUGGUGUGCAAUGCACCAACUUGUUCAUGGGUUUUGACAGUGUCAUAUGUGUGAAAGAUGCUGAAAUAGAACGUCUAGCCAUGGUUGUGGUAGAGUUGAAAAAAAAAUCAUCAGACUGGAAAAUCAAAUAGACGACCAUGAGGCGCACAAAGUCAGUCAAUCUGUAAGAAAUGGUACUGGUAGCCGGAUGAUAGCAUUUGACUGGGUUAGAGACAGAGAUUGUGUGCAGAAUGGUUAGGAACAUAAUGGUAUUUCAGAUGUUUCCAAAACACCAAGUACUACAUUCACAACGCCUGUUGCCAGCAUUGCAUAAUGGCUGACGAAAAAGCAUUGCCUUAAUGUUGGUGAGCCAUUAGCGCUACGACAUACAGCACCGUCUGUCCUCGAUGGGAUCGAACACAAUGUAGCAAAUUCGAACAUAGGUAUUGGUAGUCCAAUAUGUGCAGUGUCAUCAAAAAAUAUGUCACCCCCCCAACAGUCCAACAUGGCAGGGACCUCGGGCAACGCGAAUGGUGUGGCCAAGGUAUGUCUGCAGUUGCAUUUCGUAAACGUUCUGAGCCCUAACAUAAAUUCAUUGGUAAGACGCGUGAAGGAAAAACGAAGACGGGAGUGGAGGUUAUCGGAUUACGAGUAUCCCGAUGUUGGUGGUCGUACUAAACAGCAUAAGAAUCUGGUGAAAGAGAAUGUGGAUGGGAAUUGGGAGGUGGUUUAUGUUGAUGAUGGUGCAGACUGAGAAAAGACUUGGGGUAGUUUUAGAAUGAACCAUCGACGCCUUGUGUGGAAAAUGCUCAGCCCGGAGAAGCAAAAACGGCUAGAGGACGUGUACUAUUUCGAGAGUGACGGAUGUGUAACCAUCUUGAGUUGUAACUAACUUUUUUUUUUUUUAAAUGUGUAAGUACUUAUAAAAUAUUGUAUGUGGUUUACGUUUGUUAUAGAGCUGUAAUAUGGGGUGGCGAAGGGAGUGACGUGCACGUAUGUUUCACGAACAUCCAAGCUUUGGUACAAUAAUCGACAAUCAAUAACAGUAAAAAAUGGGUGGUUAACUAUGCAAAACAGCUACUGGAAGACCGUUGGCCGAUGAAGUUGCAAGCGAUGAUAUGAAUGGUUCCCCCGAGUCAGUCAUCGAAUGUCCUUAACAAGCAGCAAGCUUCGCUGAUUGUGGUAUCUUUGUUUGUUUCAUCAUGCACCAAUAUGUGCACAAGGUGAAGAUUGACAGUACAAUGGAUGGCCUUACCCCUAAUACAUUUCGGGCUGCAUUAGUGAAGACGUUCAUGAAUGACCCAAGAAGAGGUCUGUCCACCCAGGCUGUGUAAUAAUGCACGAAUUAUAUGUUUGGAACAUUGGUUUGAAAACAUUGCACAUGUUUUCGUUUGAUUACCAUUUCCAUUUCCAUGUUAUUGCAGUACAAUCACCAACUGCGUAAUGGGUUUUUUGGGUUAGUUGAAGUAGUUCAUUUAUUACGUUUAAGAUUUACGUAAAUAAGGAUAGACAAACCAAUGUGUUACUGUCCAAAACUCUCUGCCGCAGUACGCGACCGCAUUAGCAUGCGGCACAUAAAAAUUGGUUUAUUUCAUAUUAUGGAAGUUGAUUUUACUUUUUUUUGUGAUGAAUGGGCUGUUGUAAUCCGAUUAUUGGUGGAUGUGUUGGUGGAUAUUGUCGUUGUUCGAAUGUUAUGUGCGUAUGUGUAAAUGUAUGAUAGGGUAUGUGGUGUUGUUUUGUUUA